GAUGAACGCUGGCGGCGUGCUUAACACAUGCAAGUCGAACGAUGAAGCCCAGCUUGCUGGGUGGAUUAGUGGCGAACGGGUGAGUAACACGUGAGUAACCUGCCCCUAACUCUGGGAUAAGCCUGGGAAACUGGGUCUAAUACCGGAUAGGAGCGUCCACCGCAUGGUGGGUGUUGGAAAGAUUUAUCGGUUUUGGAUGGACUCGCGGCCUAUCAGCUUGUUGGUGAGGUAAUGGCUCACCAAGGCGACGACGGGUAGCCGGCCUGAGAGGGUGACCGGCCACACUGGGACUGAGACACGGCCCAGACUCCUACGGGAGGCAGCAGUGGGGAAUAUUGCACAAUGGGCGGAAGCCUGAUGCAGCGACGCCGCGUGAGGGAUGACGGCCUUCGGGUUGUAAACCUCUUUCAGUAGGGAAGAAGCGAAAGUGACGGUACCUGCAGAAGAAGCACCGGCUAACUACGUG
rnacentral:rRNA from 1 species